AACGCGAAGAACCUUACCUGGGCUUGACAUGUUUUUGACAGUGUAAGAAAUUACAUCUUCUCGCAAGAGACAAUUUCACAGGUGCUGCAUGGCUGUCGUCAGCUCGUGCCGUGAGGUGUUGGGUUAAGUCCCGCAACGAGCGCAACCCUUGUCGUUAGUUGCCAUCAGGUAAUGCUGGGCACUCUAGCGAGACUGCCUGAGUUAAUCAGGAGGAAGGUGAGGAUGACGUCAAGUCCGCAUGGCCUUUAUGCCCAGGGCUACACACGUACUACAAUGGUCGGUACAGAAGGCAGCGAAGUCGUGAGAUGGAGCAAAUCCUCAAAGCCGGCCUCAGUUCAGAUUGUAGUCUGCAACUCGACUACAUGAAGAUGGAAUUGCUAGUAAUGGCGAGUCAGCAAUAUCGCCGUGAAUACGUUUCCGGGCCUUGUACACACCGCACGA
rnacentral:rRNA from 1 species